AUUGAACGCUGGCGGCAUGCCUUACACAUGCAAGUCGAACGGUAACAGGCCGCAAGGUGCUGACGAGUGGCGAACGGGUGAGUAAUGCAUCGGAACGUGCCCAGUCGUGGGGGAUAACUGCUCGAAAGAGCAGCUAAUACCGCAUACGACCUGAGGGUGAAAGCGGGGGACCGUAAGGCCUCGCGCGAUUGGAGCGGCCGAUGUCAGAUUAGCUAGUUGGUGGGGUAAAGGCCUACCAAGGCAACGAUCUGUAGUUGGUCUGAGAGGACGACCAGCCACAGUGGGACUGAGGCACGGCCCAGACUCCUACGGGAGGCAGCAGUGGGGAAUUUUGGACAAUGGGCGCAAGCCUGAUCCAGCAAUGCCGCGUGCAGGAAGAAGGCCUUCGGGUUGUAAACUGCUUUUGUCAGGGAAGAAAUCCUCUGGGUUAAUACCUCGGGGGGAUGACGGUACCUGAAGAAUAAGCACCGGCUAACUACGAGCCAGCCGCCGCCGUAGAAC
rnacentral:rRNA from 1 species